rnacentral:rRNA from 1 species
UUGNANUGGGGGCACCCUGAUCCAGCAAUGCCGCGUGAGUGAAGAAGGCCUUCGGGUUGUAAAGCUCUUUUGUCAGGGAAGAAACGGUGACCUCUAAUAUAGGUUGCUAAUGACGGUACCUGAAGAAUAAGCACCGGCUAACUACGUGCCAGCAGCCGCGGUAAUACGUAGGGUGCAAGCGUUAAUCGGAAUUACUGGGCGUAAAGCGUGCGCAGGCGGUUAUGUAAGUCAGAUGUGAAAUCCCCGGGCUUAACCUGGGAAUGGCAUUUGAGACUGCAUGGCUAGAGUGUGUCAGAGGGGGGUAGAAUUCCACGUGUAGCAGUGAAAUGCGUAGAGAUGUGGAGGAAUACCGAUGGCGAAGGCAGCCCCCUGGGAUAACACUGACGCUCAUGCACGAAAGCGUGGGGAGCAAACAGGAUUAGAUACCCUGGUAGUCCACGCCCUAAACGAUGUCUACUAGUUGUCGGGUCUUAAUUGACUUGGUAACGCAGCUAACGCGUGAAGUAGACCGCCUGGGGAGUACGGUCGCAAGAUUAAAACUCAAAAAAAUUGACGGA